GGAAGAGAAAGCUGGAAUCCAUCCCCGGCGGCAGCACGGCACUGCCCAGAACAGGGCCGUCCCCUUGGCCGACCUUUGAUGCCCGUGUCAGAUCACCUCCUAGCACCCACAAGGGCUUCGGAGAGGCUGGGAACCCAGGGACGUGAGGAGAAGAAGCGGAAUGGGGCCUCCCUGAACAUCCUGCAGGACAGAGAUGAGGAUGCUGACCCCGUGGGGCACGGAGAGAAGCCCAGUGUCCCCCCAGCACACAGGCACGCGGACCUCGGCCCUAGCUGCC